UUCAGAAAGAAUGACAUCAUUCUACAUUUUUGCAAAUCCCUUUCAUGUGUGGCUUGAUAGAAUAGAGCAAGGUUCUUAGAUCUGCUCCUGCACUCAGGUCGUCACAGUAUCACGUCCUGGAGUCUGGAGCAUCCUACACUGUGCCUACACGUGACAGCAGGACAGUGUGAAAAGCAGAUGCCUCCUUAGUAUUGUCGCGAAAAUAGCUUCGACCCCGUGGAGACCUGAAAGGGUCUCAGGAACUCCUGAGAAGCCUCAAACUACUUGUUUGUUUUCUUAAUGUAAGCUCUACACCCAACCUGGGGCUUGAACUCUUGACCUCAAGAUCAAGAGUCACAUGCUCUACAGACUGAGCCAGCCAGGCGCCCCUCAGACCACAUUUUGAGAGCUACUUUGUCAGAUUAAGACUUCCAGCUGAAAGUUUUUUUUAACUUUUUAAUAGCUGAAACUCGGCCAAGUUCGGGGCGCUGGCCCUCCCCAGGGAGUGGGGAAAUAGAUGUGUUUGCCUCCAUGCAGCCUGCCUUAAGACACUACCCUUGCUGCGGGCUCUAGAGGUUUUGCUUCUCAGGCCUUCCCGCUCCUCCUCUCCCUGCCCCUCCCCCACCACCUCCACUUGCACCACACUGAAAUCUCACAGUGGGCCAAGUAAUGCGUCUGGAAAGGAAAGGAAGGGAAUCUAACUAGAUGUCAAUUUUCUUAAGCCAAAGAGUGUUGUUUGGGUUUUUUUUUUUUAAUCAACCACAGUUACUUCUCUACUUACAAAUUUGGAAGAAAAAAUAGAUUCAAACCUUUUGAAAAUGUUUGAGAAUAGAAUAGAAAUGUUUGAUAUUGCAUAUGUUCUUAUUCCAAUAAUAUUGCAAUGGAUCAAAAUAAUUUUGGAUCUCCUUCUAGAAUUUCCUUGAAGACUGUAAGACACAUUUUAUUUAAUUACUAUGAUCUCCUAUCCCCUAUCUGCCUCCAUGAGCUCCUAGAAGGAGCAGAGACUAUUACACCAUGCUGAGAUGUGGAGGCUGGGGAGUGGCCGAGCCUACUAGCUAAUGACCUGAACAUUGCAGCACUGGGCCUACAUUUGAGCUUCAGUAAAAUGUCAAGACCUCACACAUUGGACCUUCAGAGUUACUCAGGUUCAAGACUUCAGUGGAGGAAGUAACUGCAGAUGCGGUAGAAAUAACAAGAGAACUAGAAGUGGAGCCCGAAGACGGG